GAUGAACGCUGGCGGCGUGCUUAACACAUGCAAGUCGAACGAUGAAGCCCAGCUUGCUGGGUGGAUUAGUGGCGAACGGGUGAGUAACACGUGAGUAACCUGCCCCCGACUCUGGGAUAAGCCCGGGAAACUGGGUCUAAUACCGGAUAUUACCUCUUGCCGCAUGGCAGGUGGUGGAAAGAUUUAUCGGUGGGGGAUGGACUCGCGGCCUAUCAGCUUGUUGGUGAGGUAAUGGCUCACCAAGGCGACGACGGGUAGCCGGCCUGAGAGGGUGACCGGCCACACUGGGACUGAGACACGGCCCAGACUCCUACGGGAGGCAGCAGUGGGGAAUAUUGCACAAUGGGCGAAAGCCUGAUGCAGCGACGCCGCGUGAGGGAUGACGGCCUUCGGGUUGUAAACCUCUUUCAGUAGGGAAGAAGCGAAAGUGACGGUACCUGCAGAAGAAGCGCCGGCUAACUACGUGCCAGCAGCCGCAGUA
rnacentral:rRNA from 1 species